UACGGGGGGGGCAAGCGUUGUUCGGAAUUACUGGGCGUAAAGGGCUCGUAGGCGGCCAACUAAGUUGGACGUGAAAUCCCCAGGCUCAACCUGGGAACUGCGUCUGAUACUGGAUGGCUUGAAUCCGGGAGAGGGAUGCAGAAUUCCAGGUGUAGCGGUGAAAUGCGUAGAUAUCUGGAGGAAUACCGGUGGCGAAGGCGGCAUCCUGGACCGGCAUUGACGCUGAGGAGCGAAAGCCAGGGGAGCAAACGGG
rnacentral:rRNA from 1 species